rnacentral:rRNA from 1 species
GUGGGGAAUAUUGGACAAUGGGCGAAAGCCUGAUCCAGCAAUGCCGCGUGAGUGAUGAAGGCCUUAGGGUUGUAAAGCUCUUUUACCCGGGAUGAUAAUGACAGUACCGGGAGAAUAAGCUCCGGCUAACUCCGUGCCAGCAGCCGCGGUAAUACGGAGGGAGCUAGCGUUGUUCGGAAUUACUGGGCGUAAAGCGAACGUAGGCGGCUUUGUAAGUUAGAGGUGAAAGCCUGGAGCUUAACUCCAGAACUGCCUUUAAGACUGCAUCGCUUGAAUCCAGGAGAGGUGAGUGGAAUUCCGCGUGUAGAGGUGAAAUUCGUAGAUAUUCGGAAGAACACCAGUGGCGAAGGCGGCUCACUGGACUGGUAUUGACGCUGAGGUGCGAAAGCGUGGGGAGCAAACAGGAUUAGAUACCCCAGUAGUCC